UACGAAGGGGCUAGCGUUGCUCGGAAUCACUGGGCGUAAAGGGUGCGUAGGCGGGUCUUUAAGUCAGGGUGAAAUCCUGGAGCUCAACUCCAGAACUGCCUUUGAUACUGAAGAUCUUGAGUUCGGGAGAGGUGAGUGGAACUGCGAGUGUAGAGGUGAAAUUCGUAGAUAUUCGCAAGAACACCAGUGGCGAAGGCGGCUCACUGGCCCGAUACUGACGCUGAGGCACGAAA
rnacentral:rRNA from 1 species